UAAAUAAAAAAGUUUAUUUUACCUAGGUAGACGAUAAGACCCUAAAACCUUUAUUGAGUGUUAAAUCUCUUUUUGCUGGGGAGGCAAACUAUAAUCUCAUAGUUUAUAAAAACAAAAUGAAUGAUUUUAAAUAACUUAAGGUUAAACCCAAAAAGGAACUUUAGGGAAACAACCUAAUUUUUAAUAAAAAGUUAACUUACCAAAUUAAAAGAUUAGGACCCCAAGGUUGAAUUGAUAUAACUUUACUAACCACCCCUAGUAAUUGGAAGGCCGGUCCAACCUUUAAUCUACCACAGGAUC
rnacentral:rRNA from 1 species